UACGAGGGACCUAGCGUUGUUCGGAAUCAUUGGGCGUAAAGGGUGUGUAGGCGGCCAAGUAAGUCAGUUGUGAAAGCCCCGGGCUCAACCCGGGAAGUGCUUCUGAUACUGCUUGGCUUGAGUAUUGGAGAGGUGAGUGGAAUUCCAGGUGUAGUGGUGAAAUACGUAGAUAUCUGGAGGAACACCGGCGGCGAAGGCGGCUCACUGGCCAUAUACUGACGCUGAAACACGAAAGCGUGGGUAGCAAACAGG
rnacentral:rRNA from 1 species